rnacentral:lncRNA from 1 species
GGAAGAUUGGAAUUGCACUUGGGAUGGGGUUAGGCUUAUCAUCAAAUAUCCUGCCCUGUGCCUUGAGAGAUGGUGACAGCAUGCCUCAAGCUGCUGGUCAUCUCAGUGGGCAGUGGCUUGCAGCAUUUCCACCACACCGCAGUCCUGACCUUUUUUUCAGGGGACGGUUCCUAUCCAGCCUGUGCCCCUGUGCUCUGGUGAAUUUCCCAUCCUCCCUUGUGGCGAAAAUGAAGUCAUGUGACAAGCAAAGCACCCCACUGGAACGCUAACCUAGCUUCUUCAGCCUCUGAUGUGGACUGAAGACCAACAACCGUCCAGAAAACUUCCAGCCUGCUGACACCAGGCUAGGGCUACUGAGACCUCCAGGCCCUGGGUACUGCAUCCCAGAGAGCCCAACAUGCAGGCAGUUGUUGGGCAACAGGGCUGUACCAUUCCAUAUCCUGAGUUCUACACCCCCAUAUUCAACCAGCUAUGGCUGCAGUCAGCAGCACACCUCAAUCACAAACUGGCAUCUCCCGCCAGCGCCUGACAAACAGGAGAUCAGUGCUGGUUCCCCGAGGCUCGCAGCACCUAGAGAAACCUGAAGUUUUCCAGACCGCCCCGCUGUCAUGGCAACAGCAGGAGAAACAAACAAAGCUCACAUCAAGCGACUGAACACAAAGCCAUACCAUUAUUUUAAUAAUCGGCAAUGGCCACGCGGGGCUGAGAGCAGCAGGCUUUCAGGGCACUGCCGCCAACGUGUCUCUCUCUUGAGAUGUCUUGAAGUGCUCACCGACACGUGUGGGCCUUGGCACUCAGAUCAUGCCUCCAGCUUGGAGUCCCCUCUUGUGUAGACCCUUACUGCCUACAGUGGUCACCAACUCGUGGGCUUGGGAAGCCAGGUGGCCAGAUGGUUAGAGGCUCCAGCCUCAGGCCAAGCAGCCCUGGGUGCAAAUCCAAACCCUGCACCUUCCAAGCUGGUGAUGGAAGAAAUGGCAGUACUGGUACAAUUACAUCUCCCUGCUGAACCUCUGUUUACAUGGUGAAGAUCUACUUGGGGAGUCAUUCAAAUGUUAACCAGGCUUUAUUGAAAACCUGCUGGAGCUUGGUGUUGCAAAAGGUCCUUUUGUUUGCUGAGCCCAGGUCCUCACAACAUCA